rnacentral:rRNA from 1 species
AUGAAAGGAAAACACCAAGGUGUCCAGAAGAGGUUACUUGAAAUAAAUCCGAGAGCAUUGUACAUGCCAUGUGCCUAUCACAGACUGAAUCUUACUCUAUGCGAUAUGGCAAAAUCUUGCAGCAAAGCUAUUACUUUCUUUGGAGUUGUGCAACGGAUCUACAUAUUGUUUUCAGGCUCUACUAAAAGAUGGCAGGUAUUGCUUGAUAGUGUUCCAAACCUUACAGUUAAAUCUCUCUGUAAUACUCGUUGGGAGAGUCGGAUAAAGAGUGUUCAAGCUAUUAGAUAUCAAGCGUCUCAUUUAAGAAAAGCUCUAUUGGAGUUGCAGAGAACUUCUAAUGAUGACCCCAAAACUAAGAGUGAUGCAAAAUCUUUGGUUACUGCACUUGGAAAUUUUGAAUUCUUAGUUGGCAUGGUCAUUUGGCACAAUAUUUUAUUUACUAUCAACAGGGUUAGUAAGAAGUUGCAGUCUGAGUUUAUGUGCAUUGAUGUUACCCUUAAGCAAAUUGAAGGUGCCAUCUCAUUUUUUAAGAAGUACAGAAAUGACGGCUUUACAUCUAGUGUGAACAUUGCAAAAUCUAUUGCAUCUGACAUGGAUAUAGAUCCUGUAUAUCCUGUAAAACGUCAUGUUAUCUGA